GACGAACGCUGGCGGCGUGCUUAACACAUGCAAGUCGAACGGAAAGGCCCUGUUCUUGUGGGGUGCUCGAGUGGCGAACGGGUGAGUAACACGUGAGUAACCUGCCCUUGACUUUGGGAUAACUUCAGGAAACUGGGGCUAAUAUCGGAUAUGAGCUCCUGCUGCAUGGUGGGGGUUGGAAAGUUUCGGCGUUUGGGGAUGGACUCGCGGCUUAUCAGCUUGUUGGUGGGGUAGUGGCUUACCAAGGCUUUGACGGGUAGCCGGCCUGAGAGGGUGACCGGCCACAUUGGGACUGGGAUACGGGCCGGACGCCUACGGGAGGCAGCGGUGGGAAAUAUUGCACGAUGGGCGGAAGCCUGAUGCAGCAGCGCCGCGUGCGGGAUGACGGCCUUCAGGUUGUAAACCGCUUUCGCCUGUGACGAAGCGUGAGUGACGGUAAUGGGUAAAGAAGCACCGGCUAACUACGUG
rnacentral:rRNA from 1 species